UACGUAGGGUGCAAGCGUUGUCCGGAAUUAUUGGGCGUAAAGAGCUCGUAGGCGGUCUGUCGCGUCGGCUGUGAAAACCCGGGGCUCAACCCCGGGCCUGCAGUCGAUACGGGCAGACUAGAGUGUGGUAGGGGAGACUGGAAUUCCUGGUGUAGCGGUGAAAUGCGCAGAUAUCAGGAGGAACACCGGUGGCGAAGGCGGGUCUCUGGGCAGUAACUGACGCUGAGGAGCGAAAAGCGUGGGGGAGCGAACAGG
rnacentral:rRNA from 1 species